rnacentral:rRNA from 1 species
AUUGAACGCUGGCGGCAGGCCUAACACAUGCAAGUCGAACGAGUGGCGGACGGGUGAGUAAUGUCUGGGAAACUGCCUGAUGGAGGGGGAUAACUACUGGAAACGGUAGCUAAUACCGCAUACCAUGGGAUGUGCCCAGAUUGGAUUAGCUAGUAGGUGGGGUAAAGGCUCACCUAGGCGACGAUCCCUAGCUGGUCUGAGAGGAUGACCAGCCACACUGGAACUGAGACACGGCCCAGACUCCUACGGGAGGCAGCAGUGGGGAAUAUUGGACAAUGGGCGAAAGCCUGAUGCAGCCAUGCCGCGUGUAUGAAGAAGGCCUUCGGGUUGUAAAGUACUGUUGUCGGGGAGGCGGUACCUACAGAAGAAGCCACGGCUAACUCCGUGCCAGCAGCCGCGGUAAUAC